rnacentral:lncRNA from 1 species
UUUCAUUCAGUCAGCAAAUAUUUCCUGGGCAUUACUGUGUGUUAAGAGUUAGCAAGAAAGAGAGUCUUCUAUUUUAGAUGAAAAUCUCGCACCCCCACUCCUGGGUCAGCCCCAGUGCCCAUGCAAGCUCUGCUGUGGUGAUGAAGCGUUCAGGACUUGGUUUGGGCCAGACCGUAUGUAGUGUAUAUGAAAGCAUUUUCUGGAGGUGAACACAGACCUUUAAUCAGGAUAGUUUUGCAUUUUUUUCCAUUCUAGAUUUUAUUUUAGGACUUUUAGUUAUCAAAAAAAUCAGUUGAAUUCUGGAAAAGAAUAAAAUGAACAUUAUUUGAAUAGUAUAAUGCCACCCAUGCCUGUACUAGACCAUUUCACAUAUAUUAUUUCAUGUGAUUU